UGAUUUAUAAAAAUUGAAUCGGUGGCAAACUGUGCUUAGGAACCGGUUUAUACAUGGCGACCAUGGAAUUAGAAGUCGUAUGUGAGAUCUAAACACGGUGAAGUCGUACAAUCGAUUUAUUACAAUUUGAGCGGCAUAUCGGUAUGAAUUUACCGAAUCCGUGGAUAAAAGUUUAUUUUGAAUUUCAAGAAAAUGAAACAUAUAACAAUAAUAAUGAUAAUACCACACAUUGUCCUUACCACACCAGUCCAGUAACUCGACAGAUUUCUACUUCACCUAAAAACUAACAUUUACAUAGAGAUGAAUUUUCUUCCUAAGUGAUAUUGCCAGUUUAAACUUUUGGCCUAAUAAAGAUUCAUCACAAGAAAACUCAGAACUGUAUUUAAUCUGAAACAGAAACUCAUGAUAUUUAUAUGUUUAAUCCAGGCAGCAUCAAAAUUGGAAGGCACAUUAGAUGAAUACAAUACAACUCAAAACAUAUUACUUAAAACUCAGUUUAUCAUGCUACGCUAAUUAAUUUAAGGAACUCAACCGCAACUGUCACUAACAUUUGAGAAUUUCAUUACAACCUUUCUUCAUAAUUCUGCAAACGAAAUCCAACACACAAUUCUUCAUAAAAUACAAGUGAACCCAACAGUGGUGACAUUCAUUACCAAUUUACAUCAGACCAAAAUUAACAUACCACUCAGAGCUAAAUAUAAAUUCAGAUAAUUAACACACCAUGGUCUCUUGGACACAAAUUAAAUCAAGUUCAACAAUUCUUAACAAAUCCAAAAAAAACAGACCACCAAAAUAUGCUACAUUAUAAGCUCAGAUAAUAGCAAAAGGUUGUAAUCAAGAGGAAUUACAUGUUGGUUUCGGUUAUGAGGAUCCCGUACGCAACUGCUUAUUGCCAAAACGUGGUGUCACAGGUGGUUCACGGAUACGUCAAAAGCGUCACGCAAUGUAGCAAUUCGUGAGAUAUUGAGAAGCAAGUGAGGGUUUGGCGAAAAACCAGAUCGGUACCUGAAAAACAGAAAAGUACACAACAAACUCCAAAAUUUCUUGGUGACGGCUUCACGAGGUCUUCGCACAGAUGGUGAAGACCGCUGUUGAUGAAGGACAAGGGCGAUUGCGGAUGGAGGUCGAAGGGUUUGAGGUGGAACUCGUGCGGUAGAUUCGCGAAGGUAGAGAGGCGGUUAAGAUGAGGAAGAGGAGAUUUAUGGUGGUUCUCGCGGUGAUGAAUUCGUGGCGGCGGUCUUGAGGAGGCGAGCGGUGAGGUUGUGGGUUCGUUGGUUUCGCCGGUUUAGUGGUUUGAUGGAGAUGAUGGACAGUGAGAGGCGACGGUGGUUUGGGUCGGUAGCGUGAGCUUGAGCGGAAGGAAGAUGAAGGGGUUUAUGUGGACUUGAGAGUGAGACGGAAGAGGAAAGGGUUUGAGAGCGAGAUGUAAGGUGGUGAAUGAAGGUGAAGCGAUGGUUGAAGAAGGAUUUGCGAUGGUAGAGAGUGUUUACCGGUGGACUUGGG
rnacentral:lncRNA from 1 species